UGACCUUGGGUAUAAUGGGCCCAGCCCCUACACAUACCUUGUUUGUAUGCUGGACAAUGUUUAUGUGAAGUUACAGUAAGAUAUAAGCAAUAGUAACAAAGACAAAGGUUGUAGAAAAACUUAACAAGAGGGCCAAAAUGGCCCUAUAUCGCUCACCUGUUAUCACUGCACUUAAGGACAAGAAGGUCAAAAAAUCAUAAUCAAGAUCAAUCAAAAGAAUUAUGAGAAAAUAUAGUUGAAAUUUUCUUAAAGUUACUUCAAAUAAAAGUAUUUUCAAAUCAGGCCAGUAGUUUCAUGCCCGAAGGAUUACAUCAGAGGAGAUUAGGAGCAAAUUUUUGACUGAUGAAGCCCAAAGGACAGGAACAACUAAGGGAAGAAAUUAAUAAUAAAUCUAAGUCCUCAGAAAAAAUACCUAAGUCCAAAGGACAGGAACAACAAA